rnacentral:rRNA from 1 species
UACGAAGGGGCUAGCGUUGUUCGGAAUUACUGGGCGUAAAGCGCACGUAGGCGGGUUGUUAAGUCAGGGGUGAAAUCCUGGAGCUCAACUCCAGAACUGCCUUUGAUACUGGCAACCUAGAGACUGGAAGAGGUUAGUGGAAUUCCCAGUGUAGAGGUGAAAUUCGUAGAUAUUGGGAAGAACACCAGUGGCGAAGGCGGCUAACUGGUCCAGCACUGACGCUGAGGUGCGAAAGCGUGGGGAGCGAACAGG